rnacentral:lncRNA from 1 species
CUGGUCCCGCUAUGGGGCACAAAGGGGGGGCUGUGGGGCACUCCCGGCCCCACUCGUGCCUCAGUUUCCCCCCAAUUGGGGGUCGGUCCCUGCCCCACUCGUGCCUCAGUUUCCCCCCAUUUAGGGGUCAGUUCAGGCCCCACUUGGGGGUCACUUUGUUCCCACUUAUGGGUCAGUCCAGACCCCACUCGUGCCUCAGUUUCCCCGCACUUGGGGGUCAGUCCCAGCCCCACUUGGGGGUCAGUUCCUGCCCCACUCGUGCCUCAGUUUCCCCGCACUUGGGGGUCAGUCCCUGCCCCACUGCCGGCUCCGCUGUGGGGCCGCAGGGCCGGGGGUCACUGCAGGGUCCCCCUGUGGGGCACCGUGGAGCUCUGUGGGUCACUCUGGGGCAGCGCCGGACGCUGGGGGUCACUGCUGGGGCUCCGUGGGUCACUCCAUGGGUCACUGCUGGGGCUCCGUGGGUCACUGGUGGGGCUCCGUGGGUCACUCGUGGGUCGCUGUGGGUCACUUGUGGGUCGCUGUGGGUCACCCCAUUGGUCACUCUGUGGGUCACCCGUGGGUCGCUGUGGGUCACUCCGUGGGUCACCC